AAAUGAUGAUAAUAUAAUUCAUUUUUUAGAUCACCUCACGGGUAUUGAACAACAGUCUCGGAUUGAUAUUUUCUAAGGCCAUAGAUGGAUUACCAUGUUGUGACAAUAUGAACUUGCCUACUCUAUCAAUUAUUUCUUAAACAUCAAUUUUUAAAGCCACUGUAACAGUAUUGGCAUGGUACAUUCGGGAUCAAUUUUUUCAAAAGGCUUUUGAUGUAAGAAGAACAACAUCAUCUAUGUAUAUGAGGAAUAUGAGUAUUUUAAGUGAAGCAUGGCAGCAUGUAGAAAAUGGUCGAUACACAUUGCUGGAAUCUGCAGUGUGCAGAGCAAAUUCUAUUAAAUAAAAUUGGUGAACCAAUAUUUAAUGAGGAGUGCACAAAGGUUUUUAUGCAUGAAAGUGAAGCAAGCAACUUUUAAUAUUACUUAAUUGGUCAUUUUGAUUAUUAUAGAUGAUGUUCAUGGAAUACCAGCAAGAGUUGAGAAGAGAACUUCAAGGACAUGGAAGUCAGGAAAGACUUAGAUACAUCCGGCUACAAUAUAGGUACUUCAAAAAAACUCUGCACAACAACCAGCAAACAAAAACGAGCCGGUAAUUCCUGAUACAAUUGUAAUAUGUAUAAUUUGUGCAGACAACGAAGCAUUGGUCACAAUGAUGCCCUGUAGACAUAUAUUUUGCAAUAUUUGUGUAUUGAGGCUAAUUCAAGAGCGCGAUGUAAGAUGUCCAAUUUUUAGAUUGCAUCCAGAAAAUUAUGUAGGAUUAGUAUUAUAGAAAUAAUAUCCUAUUAUAAAAUAAAUAUAUUUAAUACACUAA